AUGAACGCUGGCGGCGUGCCUAAUACCUGCAAGUCGAGCGAACAGACGAGGAGCUUUCUCCUCUGACGUUAGCGGCGGACGGGUGAGUAACACGUGGAUAACCUACCUAUAAGACUGGGAUAACUUCGGGAAACCGGAGCUAAUACCGGAUAAUAUAUUUAACCGCAUGGUUCAAUAGUGAAAGACGGUUUUGCUGUCACUUAUAGAUUGAUCCUCGCCGCAUUAGCUAGUUGGUAAGGUAACGGCUUACCAAGGCGACGAUGCGUAGCCGAACUGAGAGGGUGAUCGGCCACACGGGAAGUGAGACACGGACCAGACUCCUACGGGAGGCAGCAGUAGGGAAUCUUCCGCAAAGGGCGAAAGCCUGACGGAGCAACGCCGCGUGAGUGAUGAAGGUCUUCGGAUCGUAAAACUCUGUUAUUAGGGAAGAACAAAUGUGUAAGUAACUAUGCACGUCUUGACGGUACCGAAUCAGAAAGCCACGGCUAACUACGUG
rnacentral:rRNA from 1 species